rnacentral:rRNA from 1 species
GACGAACGCUGGCGGCGUGCUUAACACAUGCAAGUCGAACGAGUGGCGAACGGGUGAGUAUUACGUGAGUAACCUGCUCUCACUGUGGGAUAAGCCUGGGAAACUGGGUCUAAUACUGCAUAGUUGGGGAUGGGCUCGCGGCCUAUCAGCUUGUUGGUGGGGUGGUGGCCUACCAAGGCGGGGACGGGUAGCCGGCCUGAGGGGGUGGACGGCCACACUGGGGCUGGGACACAGUCCGGACUCCUACGGGAGGCAGCAGUGGGGAAUAUUGCACAAUGGGCGCAAGCCUGAUGCAGCGACGCCGCGUGAGGGAUGGAGGCCUUCGGGUUGUAAACCUCUUUCGCCAGUGAAGCGGUAGCUGGAUAAGAAGCGCCGGCUAACUACGUGCCAGCAGCCGCGGUAAUAC